CCUACGGGAGGCAGCAGUGGGGAAUCUUAGACAAUGGGCGCAAGCCUGAUCUAGCCAUGCCGCGUGAUCGAUGAAGGCCUUAGGGUUGUAAAGAUCUUUCAGUGGGGAAGAUAAUGACUGUACCCACAGAAGAAGCCCCGGCUAACUCCGUGCCAGCAGCCGCGGUAAUACGGAGGGGGCUAGCGUUGUUCGGAAUUACUGGGCGUAAAGCGCACGUAGGCGGACUGGAAAGUCAGAGGUGAAAUCCCAGGGCUCAACCUUGGAACUGCCUUUGAAACUCCCGGUCUUGAGGUCGAGAGAGGUGAGUGGAAUUCCGAGUGUAGAGGUGAAAUUCGUAGAUAUUCGGAGGAACACCAGUGGCGAAGGCGGCUCACUGGCUCGAUACUGACGCUGAGGUGCGAAAGCGUGGGGAGCAAACAGGAUUAGACUACCCGUGGUAGUCCACGCCGUAAACGAUAGAAUGCCAGACGUCGGCAAGCANNUGUGUGUCACACUACGUAUAGNNUCGCGUGGAGCGCGCGAAGUAACUACAANAGAGUGNGNGAGACGAGCGAGCGACGACGAGGAGAG
rnacentral:rRNA from 1 species